rnacentral:lncRNA from 10 species
UGUCAGUUCUCAUUCUGACUUUCUCUCCUUAAGGACACAGAGGAAUCUGGGGGAUAUUAUGGUUCUGGGAAUGUGGAAUGUAACGUCUCAUCUUCAGCCCAUCUGUGCUACUGAUCAUCUCAUUCCAGAAGCCAUGCCUUCUCUCAGGAGCAGACAGCACAAGACUUUCCUGCCAGAGGCACAGUCCCCAGUGGGAGUAGCAUCCACAUAAGACAGGAUGCAGAGAUGUCUUCAAGCAGCUUCAAACAAAACUUCAAGAAAGAAAGUGCAAGUGAAAAAGGAAAUUCAUCCUUCCAGUCACUUAACACAGCACUGUCACGGACACCUUGUGCCUCCUUAAAAUUCGUAUACUGAAGUUCUAAGCCCCAGUACCCCAGAAUGUGACCUUCUUUGGAAAUAGGGUCAUUGCAGAUAUGAUUAGUUAAGAGGAGAUCAUACUGGAGUGGGCUUUAAUCCAAUAUGACUGGUGUCCUUAUGUAAAGGGGAAAUUUGGACACAGACACACACAAGGAGAACACCAUGUGAACUGAAGUCAAAGAUUUGGGUGAUGCUUCUACAAGCCAAGAAAUGCCAAAGAUGACCAGCAAAGCACCGGCAGCUGGUGGAGGAGCCUGGACCAGAUUCUUCCUCACAGCCCUCAAAAGGAACCAAUCUUGCCAAAGCUUUGACUUAGACUUCUAGCCCCCUGUGAUGGUUAAUGUUAAGUGGCAGCUUGACUGGGUUAAGGGAUGCCCAGAUAGCUGGUAAGACAGUAUGUCUGUGUGCAUCUCUCAGAGUGUUUCUGGACAAGAUCAGCAUUUGAAUCCUUAGAGUAAAGAAGAUCUGCCCUCACCCACGUGCAUCACCCUAUCUCUGGAGAGCGCGAACAAACAGGAGGAAGGGCACAUAUGCUCCUUCUGUUCCAGCUGGCACAUCCAUCUUCUCCUGCCCCCUGACUUCAGAGCUCCUGGUUCUCGGGCCUCAGGAUUCCAGCACUUACAUGAGAGCGUGCUUCCCCCUCCCUACUCCACCCCUAGGUUCUCCGCCCUUUGGCCUCUGACUGAAUUCCACCACCAGCUUUUCAGGGUCUCCAGCUUGCAGACGGCAGAUCGUGGGACUUCUUGGCCUCCAUAAUUAUGUAAGCCAAUUCCCAUAAUAAAU